GGAGGAGCGAUUAACGUGCCUCCAUUCUGGAACCCAGGAGAAUGGCUUGUCAGUCCUACCCUCAAUGGGCUUGUCAAUCAUCCUUACAUUCAGCUUUCACUAGCAGGAAGGAAGCUGCGUUUCGUUCAUGGACUGAAAGACGGUCUCAGCAGGCUAUGUACAAAACCUGCUGGAUUUAUUGUUCAGCAGUGUGGUGGGAACCCCCCUACCAUACCUGGAGCUGUUACAGAAGGCUGAGGCAGUGGCCAGACACCAGAGUAAUGGAGGACACUUCAAUCAGGAAUUUUUCUCCACAUGGAAGUGGAAGGUAUGUGAUAGGCGCCCUCACGAACAAGCCACCCUUCUCCAGGCCAUGGAUGACGCAUGCAAUGACAUCACGGCAGACCAGCGUCAGGCCUGGAUUUGCCAUGCCCGACGAUUCUU
rnacentral:lncRNA from 1 species